rnacentral:rRNA from 1 species
UACGUAGGGCGCAAGCGUUGUCCGGAAUUAUUGGGCGUAAAGAGCUCGUAGGCGGUUUGUCGCGUCUGCUGGUGAAACUCCCGAGGCUCAACCUCGGGCUUGCAGUGGGUACGGGCAGACUAGAGUGCGGUAGGGGAGAUUGGAAUUCCGUGGUAGUAGCGGUGGAAUGCGCAGAUAGUCAGGAGGAACACCUAUGGCGAAGGCAGCUCGCUGGGACGUUACUGACGCUGAGACGCGAAAGCGUGGGGAGCAAACAGG